rnacentral:rRNA from 1 species
UGGGAUGUUGGGUUAAGUCCGUAACGAGCGCAACCCUUGUCCUUAGUUACCAGCACGUUAUGUGGGCACUCUAAGGAGACUGCCGGUGACAAACCGGAGGAAGGUGGGGAUGACGUCAAGUCAUCAUGGCCCUUACGGCCUGGGCUACACACGUGCUACAAUGGUCGGUACAAAGGGUUGCCAAGCCGCGAGGUGGAGCUAAUCCCAUAAAACCGAUCGUAGUCCGGAUCGCAGUCUGCAACUCGACUGCGUGAAGUCGGAAUCGCUAGUAAUCGUGAAUCAGAAUGUCACGGUGAAUACGUUCCCGGGCCUU